rnacentral:tRNA from 1 species
UCCUCGGUGGCGCAAUUGGCUAGCGCGUCUGACUGUUACUACCUAGUAGUCAUCAGGAGGUUGAAAGUUCGAGCCUUUCCCGGGGAG